UUGAAGGCAAUGAUGUUGAAGAACUACCUAUUUUAUGAGGGAAUAGAAAAUCGUCCCUUUAUGAUUAUAAAAUUACCAAUGGAUCCUUCUGAGCCUUCA